AAGCAUAUCAAUAAGCGGAGGAAAAGAAACUAACAAGGAUUCCCCUAGUAACUGCGAGUGAAGCGGGAAGAGCUCAAAUUUAAAAGCUGGUAGCUUUGUUACCCGCGUUGUAAUCUGGAGAAGCGUUUUCCGCGUCGGACCGUGUACAAGUCUCUUGGAACAGAGCGUCAUAGAGGGUGAGAAUCCCGUCCAUGACACGGACUGCCGAUGCUUUGUGAUACGCUCUCGAAGAGUCGAGUUGUUUGGGAAUGCAGCUCAAAAUGGGUGGUAAAUUCCAUCUAAAGCUAAAUAUUGGCGAGAGACCGAUAGCGAACAAGUACCGUGAGGGAAAGAUGAAAAGCACUUUGGAAAGAGAGUUAAACAGUACGUGAAAUUGUUGAAAGGGAAACGCUUGGAGUCAGUCGCGUCUUCCAGGACUCAGCCUUGCCUUCGGGUUUGGUGUACUUCCUGUUAGACGGGUCAACAUCGAUUUUGGUCGGCGGAUAAAGGGAAAGGGAAUGUGGCACCUUCGGGUGUGUUAUAGCCUUUUCUCGUAUACGUCGUCUGGGAUCGAGGACCGCAGCGCGCCUACUAGGCCGGGGGUUCGCCCCACGUACCGCGCUUAGGAUGUUGACAUAAUGGCUUUAAGCGACCCGUCUUGAAACACGGACCAAGGAGUCUAACAUGCUCGCGAGUGUUAGGGUGGAAAACCCUUGCGCGUAAUGAAAGUGAAAGUUGGGACCUCUUUGAGGGCACCGACGCCCGGCCCAGAAGUUUUCUGACGGUGCUGCGGUAGAGCGCGUAUGUUGGGACCCGAAAGAUGGUGAACUAUGCCUGAAUAGGGCGAAGCCAGAGGAAACUCUGGUGGAGGCUCGUAGCGAUUCUGACGUGCAAAUCGAUCGUCAAAUUUGGGUAUAGGGGCGAAAGACUAAUCGNANCAUCNNGUANCUGGUUCCUGYYGAAGUUUCCCUCAGGAUAGAACAAGUACCGUGAGGGAAAGAUGAAAAGCACUUUGGAAAGAGAGUUAAACAGUACGUGAAAUUGUUGAAAGGGAAACGCUUGGAGUCAGUCGCGUCUUCCAGGACUCAGCCUUGCCUUCGGGUUUGGUGUACUUCCUGUUAGACGGGUCAACAUCGAUUUUGGUCGGCGGAUAAAGGGAAAGGGAAUGUGGCACCUUCGGGUGUGUUAUAGCCUUUUCUCGUAUACGUCGUCUGGGAUCGAGGACCGCAGCGCGCCUACUAGGCCGGGGGUUCGCCCCACGUACCGCGCUUAGGAUGUUGACAUAAUGGCUUUAAGCGACCCGUCUUGAAACACGGACCAAGGAGUCUAAC
rnacentral:rRNA from 1 species